GGCUAGACUGCGCAUGUGUGUCAGUGGCGUUAGCGGCGGACCAGGCUGGCAGUUCCUUCCUCGGAAGGAGAGAUUCCUCUGCCAUGGAGUCCUACGAUGUGAUCGCCAACCAGCCUGUCGUGAUCGACAACGGAUCCGGUGUGAUUAAAGCUGGUUUUGCUGGUGAUCAGAUCCCCAAAUACUGCUUUCCAAACUAUGUGGGCAGACCCAAGCACGUUCGUGUCAUGGCAGGUGCCCUCGAAGGCGACAUCUUCAUUGGCCCCAAAGCGGAGGAGCACCGAGGACUGCUCUCCAUCCGCUAUCCCAUGGAGCACGGCAUCAUCAAGGACUGGAACGACAUGGAGCGCAUCUGGCAAUACGUCUAUUCUAAGGACCAGCUGCAGACUUUCUCAGAGGAGCAUCCUGUGCUCCUGACGGAGGCGCCUUUAAACCCGCGGAAAAACCGGGAACGAGCUGCUGAAGUUUUCUUCGAGACCUUCAAUGUGCCAGCCCUUUUCAUCUCCAUGCAAGCUGUGCUCAGCCUUUAUGCCACCGGCAGGACCACGGGUGUGGUGCUAGAUUCUGGGGAUGGCGUCACCCACGCCGUGCCCAUUUACGAGGGCUUUGCCAUGCCCCACUCAAUCAUGCGCAUCGACAUCGCUGGCCGGGACGUCUCUCGCUUCCUUCGCCUCUACCUGCGCAAGGAAGGCUAUGAUUUCCACUCAUCCUCCGAGUUUGAGAUUGUCAAGGCCAUAAAAGAAAGAGCCUGCUACCUAUCCAUAAACCCGCAGAAGGAUGAGACACUAGAGACGGAGAAGGCACAGUACUACCUGCCCGACGGCAGCACCAUUGAGAUUGGUCCUUCCCGAUUCCGGGCACCUGAGCUGCUGUUCAGGCCAGACCUGAUCGGCGAGGAGAGCGAGGGCAUCCAUGAAGUGCUGGUGUUCGCCAUCCAGAAGUCUGACAUGGACCUGCGGCGCACACUUUUCUCUAACAUCGUCCUUUCGGGAGGCUCCACCCUGUUCAAAGGUUUUGGUGACAGGCUAUUGAGUGAAGUGAAGAAACUGGCUCCGAAAGAUGUGAAGAUCAGGGUAGGAGCAUGCUGGGGGCGGGGCCAGGGGCUAGGUGGAACUGAGCCUCCAAGGAUCUGGAGGGCCAUGUGGCGUGGCCUCCCCUCCUGCUCUGCCCAAGUUUUUCGGGCACCGCCAGAUGGCUCCCAGCUUCUACUCUGCCCCUGAAGCCCGCCAGAGGGGAGGACCCAUCUUCACUCUCCCUCUUCACAAAAGGGGGCAGUUCUGAUACCCAGAUGUGGCAGGGUGCUAGGCUGAGGGCCCCACAUGUGGGCUUUCAGGGAAACUGUAACACUGACAGGAGACUGACUUUGGCUGCUCCCCUGUGGCACAGUCUAACAUCUUAGUGACUGCUGAGGAGAGCUGGCCUGCCUGAGGAAGGAGGGAUCCUGAAUGGAGGAGUGUGGUUCCUGCCGUACAGUCUGCUUCCCACCAGCCCCCGACAGAGCCAAAUCUUGCCCGCAGAUAGCCCCAGCUUCCCUGGGAGCCAUAGAUACUUAGGGAUGCCGGGAACCUGUUUCUUCAGAUGAGCACGCUGGCCACAGUACCCCCCAGAGAGGCCACAGGGUCCAGCAGGGACAUAACUUAAAGCCUGUUGUAUGAAAUAUAUCCACUGAAAUGUAUCCAUGUGUCCACCGGCUCUCACUGGCGGUGAGCAUUGGCCAUGAAGGUGAGUACUGGCAGGGAAAGGGAGAGGGGAGGAUGGACGUCUCAGAUUCCUCUUUCCACCCACCCCUGCAGAUAUCUGCACCGCAAGAGAGACUGUAUUCCACAUGGAUUGGGGGCUCCAUCCUCGCCUCCCUGGACACCUUUAAAAAGAUGUGGGUCUCUAAGAAGGAAUACGAGGAAGACGGUGCCCGAUCCAUCCACAGGAAAACCUUCUAAUAUUGGGACAUCAUCUUCACCUCUCUCUGAAGUUAACUCCACUUUAAAACUCGCUUUCUUGAGUCGGAGUGUUUGCGAGGAAUUGCCUGUGUGUAUGAGUGUGUGUGUGGGUGUGUGGGUACGAGUGUGUGCGCAUAUGCGAGUGCCGUGUGGCCCGGGGAUCCCAGGGAUCCUGGGGCCCAGAAAGGACGAUGAACUACCCACGAUGGUGACGGCCUGAGACCUGGGGUUGACCACUAACUGGCCCCUGACAGGGAAGAGUGCUGGCAGAGGGCCCUGAUCCGUCAGCGGGGUCUUUGGCUGGCUGUGUGGGACUAUGUUUACUACCAUAGGGAGACAGAGAGGGAGGUAAACCCAACCCCCGGGAGACCUUGCUGCUGCCCAUCCUAGGCUGGGCCAGCCCCACCCCUACCCCACCCAGGGUGCCCUGCGGCCCAAGGCAGCUGCUGCCUCCCCUUGCUCAUCAUUCUGCUCUCAAUGCCUCUUGAUCACGGACUGAGGGCCAGGGUUGAGUUCUGUCUGGUUUUGUUGCAGUUUGGGUUUAGAAAGCUGGAAGAGCACUCCAGGAGUGGUUACUGAGACUUCGGUAUCAGGAGGGGGCAGGAUGCCCUCAGCUUCACCUGGAGACCAGGACCACACUGGGCAUUUGAGGAGGGCAGGAGUAGUGCUACUUCUGAUUGGUGGCAGAGUUAACGCUCUAACCCCCAACCCCCACCCGGGGAUCUUGGGAGAGUUUCAGGAGCCUGUUGGUCCCAGGCCCUUGCUUUCCAUCCAUCCAUGGGCAAAGCCAUCUUCAGUUUUAUUUAUUGAAGUGUUUGUUCAGUACAGGAACUGGAGCGAGGGAGCUCACUGCCUCCUGCCCGCCAGUCACCCUGUUCACACUAACGUUUACAGCACCUAAGCUUAGCGUAGCGUCCAGGGCCCCGCCACUCCCUGCUAACGGUGAACUGACAGUAUCCAUAGGCCUCAGGACCGUUUGGGAUCAGAGGCUACACUCAAAGUCACUCCAGCCUCUUUCUUUCUCCCUCUUCCACUUGCUCACCGGCCUGGAAUCAACAGGCUGGUUGCUGGUUGGAUUUUCUGAAACAGGAGGCUGCUAGCAAAGGAGGGGUGUUGGGGAUCCAGCCUCCUUAGGACUGGAGAAAGAGCUGCAAUUAAGUUGCCUUUUCCCACGCUAGCUGACCCAGGGGGGACUAGGUUGUAGAGGCGAGAUGGCCCCCUCUGGGCUGAUUUGUGCCAUUCUUGUCUUUGUACUUGUUUGGUUAGGGAGGGGCCAGACAAGAGUGCCAGGAGCUGAUGGGCUCAGGCUCACCUCCUCUGGUCCAGUGGGGCCACGUGCCUAACCUGGACUGGGCUGGCCUGGCAGUGGUCCCAAGUCUCUUCAGGCCAGACGGUGCAAAGCUGGGGCUAGCAGAUAUUCACUGGCACCCUCACCUGUGACACCAAGACCUGCCCUGAUCCCAGAUUCCAGGCAGUAUUCUCCCCCAUGCCGUCCAACGACCAAAGGCCCUGCCAGGUGUGGGCCGCAGCAGCAGGUGUGUGUGAAAGCGAUGUGGCGACCCACAGACUGCAGUGUGCUUAACCAGCUCACCUCCCCCCCCUUAGCCCAAGCCUGUCCCUCGCACAGCCUCGCACAAACCACGUUGCCUGGUGGGGCCCAGUGUACUUAAAUAAACUCGUUCCAAUAGACA